rnacentral:rRNA from 1 species
AUUGAACGCUGGCGGCAGGCCUAACACAUGCAAGUCGAGCGGUAGAGAGAAGCUUGCUUCUCUUGAGAGCGGCGGACGGGUGAGUAAUGCCUAGGAAUCUGCCUGGUAGUGGGGGAUAACUCGGGGAAACUCGAAUUAAUACCGCAUACGACCUACGGGAGAAAGGGGGCAACUUGUUGCUCUCGCUAUUAGAUGAGCCUAAGUCGGAUUAGCUAGAUGGUGGGGUAAAGGCCUACCAUGGCGACGAUCUGUAGCUGGUCUGAGAGGAUGAUCAGCCACACCGGGACUGAGACACGGCCCGGACUCCUACGGGAGGCAGCAGUGGGGAAUAUUGGACAAUGGGGGAAACCCUGAUCCAGCCAUGCCGCGUGUGUGAAGAAGGCCUUUUGGUUGUAAAGCACUUUAAGCAGUGAAGAAGACUCUUCGGUUAAUACCCGGAGACGAUGACAUUAGCUGCAGAAUAAGCACCGGCUAACUCUGUGCCAGCAGCCGCGGUAAUACAGAGGGUGCAAGCGUUAAUCGGAAUUACUGGGCGUAAAGCGAGCGUAGGUGGCUUGAUAAGUCAGAUGUGAAAUCCCCGGGCUUAACCUGGGAACUGCAUCUGAUACUGUUAGGCUAGAGUAGGUGAGAGGAAGGUAGAAUUCCAGGUGUAGCGGUGAAAUGCGUAGAGAUCUGGAGGAAUACUGAUGGCGAAGGCAGCCUUCUGGCAUCAUACUGACACUGAGGCUCGAAAGCGUGGGUAGCAAACAGG